UACGAAGGGCGCUAGCGCUGUUCGGAAUCACUGGGCGUAAAGCGCACGCAGGCGGAUCGAUAAGUCGGGGGUGAAAGCCCGGGGCUCAACCUCGGAACUGCCUCCGAUACUGGCGAUCUCGAGUCCGGGAGAGGUGAGUGGAACUCCGAGUGUAGAGGUGAAAGUCGUAGAUAUUCGGAAGAACACCAGUGGCGAAGGCGGCUCACUGGCCCGGUACUGACGCUGAUAGCGCGAAAGCGUGGGGAGCAAACAGG
rnacentral:rRNA from 1 species